rnacentral:rRNA from 1 species
CACGGGGGGAGCAAGCGUUGUUCGGAAUCAUUGGGCGUAAAGAGCUCGUAGGCGGUUUGUCGCGUCUGCUGUGAAAACUCGGGGCUUAACUCCGGGCCUGCAGUGGGUACGGGCAGACUAGAGUGCGGUAGGGGAGACUGGAAUUCCUGGUGUAGCGGUGAAAUGCGCAGAUAUCAGGAGGAACACCGAUGGCGAAGGCAGGUCUCUGGGCAUUAACUGACGCUGAGGAGCGAAAGCAUGGGGAGCGAUCCGG